rnacentral:rRNA from 2 species
UCAGGACGNACGCUGGCGGCGUNCUUAUACAUGCAAGUCGAGCGGACAGAUGGGAGCNUGCUCCCUGAUGUUAGCGGCGGACGGGUGAGUAACACGUGGGUAACCUGCCUGUAAGACUGGGAUAACUCCGGGAAACCGGGGCUAAUACCGGAUGCUUGUUUGAACCGCAUGGUUCAAACAUAAAAGGUGGCUUCGGCUACCACUUACAGAUGGACCCGCGGCGCAUUAGCUAGUUGGUGAGGUAAUGGCUCACCAAGGCAACGAUGCGUAGCCGACCUGAGAGGGUGAUCGGCCACACUGGGACUGAGACACGGCCCAGACUCCUACGGGAGGCAGCAGUAGGGAAUCUUCCGCAAUGGACGAAAGUCUGACGGAGCAACGCCGCGUGAGUGAUGAAGGUUUUCGGAUCGUAAAGCUCUGUUGUUAGGGAAGAACAAGUACCGUUCGAAUAGGGCGGUACCUUGACGGUACCUAACCAGAAAGCCACGGCUAACUACGUGCCAGCAGCCGCGGUAAUACGUAGGUGGCAAGCGUUGUCCGGAAUUAUUGGGCGUAAAGGGCUCGCAGGCGGUUUCUUAAGUCUGAUGUGAAAGCCCCCGGCUCAACCGGGGAGGGUCAUUGGAAACUGGGGAACUUGAGUGCAGAAGAGGAGAGUGGAAUUCCACGUGUAGCGGUGAAAUGCGUANAGAUGUGGAGGAACACCAGUGGCGAAGGCGACUCUCUGGUCUGUACUGACGCUGANGAGCGAAACCGUGGGGAGCGAACAGGAUA